GUUGAAAGUUGGUUGUUGCCUGUCAUCAAGAACAAAACUACCAAACGGCCAAAACCAAUGUAGCAACUCACAUUACGCGCAAGCGGACCACCUUUCUCCACAUCAUCGCCCUAAACAUUUCCACCGCUUACACCUCCCAAAACGCACUCACUUUCAUUGAUCAGACGCAACGCAACCGCCAAAAAAAAAAGAAUAUUUCUUAUUAUAUCAUAUCAUAUUUUAUUUUAUCUUACUUUGAAUCAUAAAUCUGUUAUAAUUUUUGUUGUUGUUCAGCUUCUUUGGAUCUGUCAUCCAUCAACCAACCAAUUAAUCAAUAUCAUGUGGCGUUCUCUCUGGCGAUCUAUCGAUCGCUUCUCUCUCCAGCACUUCAAACAUGUAAUUAACGAACUACGAGAGAUCAAAGUUGUUGAUAAGCAUAACAGGGAAUUAGUUGUAGAUCUUCUGCAAUCUAUAGUAGAGAUAGUUACUUAUGGUGAUAGACAAGACCCAAUGAUUUUUGAAUGUUUUAUGGAAUACCAAGUUUUGACGGAGUUUGUUCGCCUGUUAAAGAUUAGCAGAAAUUCUAGAAUUGAGGCACCAUUACUUCAGUAUCUUAGUAUAAUGAUUCAAAACAUGAACAGUGAACAUGCAAUUUACUACUGUUUGAGCAAUGAUUACAUCAACAGCAUUAUAGCACAUCAAUACAAUUUUGAUGUGGGCGAUCUAGCUCCAUAUUACAUAUCAUUCUUAAGAGCAGUGAGCAGCAAAAUAAACAGAGAUAUGCUUUGUCUCCUUGUAAAAGUUCGUGGGGAUGUUCUAGUCUCUUUUCCCCUAUAUAGUGAAGCUCUUAAAUUUGCUCAGCAUGGGGAAAAGAUGAUUCAGACAGCUGUACGUGCCUUAUCUCUCAACAUAUAUAAUGUUAGUGAUGAUAUGGUUUAUCAGUUUGUUUCAACUCCUCCAGCGUCAAAGUAUUUCUCGGAUUUGGUCCAUAAAUUGAAAGAGCAAUGCGUUCAUCUAGACAGCAUUGUCCUUGCUACAGAAGGUGCAUGCAUUAACCAAAGAAGAAAAGAUCUACUUUUGCAAACUGAUAAAAUUGUUGAUGAUCUAUACUACUUUAAGGAUAUUUUAUGUAUUGGUGCAUCUUGUUUGAGCGAAGUUGUUACACAGAAUCUUCUCAACUUGCUUGUGUUUCCCAUACUGCUUCCGCUUCUCCAGUUAAGGCAGAAUGAUGGCUCAGAUCUAUCCGCCAUUACUUCUCUGUAUAUACUUUGUCGUCUUCUUCAAAUUGUUGGUGGAAAAAAGAUUAUUAACUGUGUGGCUGAAAUUAUUCUAUACCCAUUUAUGUUAAGUAUGAGGGAUGCUAGUGAAUUAAGUACUGAUAAUUCAUUUUCGAACCAUUGGAAUGAUGUGGAAAAAUUGGUGGGUUCUGGUUCUGAGUUUGAAGGGGCAGAAAACAUCAACGGAGAUCUUCUCUGCAAGCUUAUGUCAUCCAGUUCUCAUUCUGUAAACUACAUUGUGGAUGAUAAUGUAUGUCAAAAAAGGAGCGGUAUACUGGCAUUUAUUUUUUCUGACAAUCACACUCUCUUGCUAGCAUCCCUAUUCUUAUUGCUUACUUUAGCAGAAAGUAAAGAUAUUGAGCAUUUACUGGCUUCUAUGAUUGGACCAAGUACAAUACAGCAUCGGAUGGAUCAUAACAUCUCAGAUUUAGAGCCAGAAGAUAGAAAUAUUUUUGUAAAGUUUAUGCCACAGAUAUUAAAUGCGUUAUUGAAGGUUUUAGCUAGUGAGCCAUCAAUCUCUAAACAAAUACCAUGGCAUACAGGGUGGUUCUUGCAGAAGCUACUGGUUUUACAAGGAAAGAGGCUUGAUGAUCAUACUUCGCAGUUGUUUAAUACUUCGUAUGAGCAGUCCCGUGAACGCUUGCGGAAAGAACUUGAUGGGUGCUGGUUUGAUUACGUUCUGGACACUCUGAGAAAUGAAUGGGCGAGCUGUAAAACAGCUCUUGAGAAGCCAUCUCAAACCAUAGAUCCGCUUUUCCUACUAGAGCUUACUGCCUGCUUGCAGAAGACUGAUGGCAAUGUUUCAACUUAUGCUUCUUGGCAGAGAAUGGUUGACACAGUGAAGGUUUUCAUUGUCCAUUUUCAGCUGAAGGCUUUGAUUUGCAAAGAAGAGGUGCUUGAAAAAUCUUUACUUGCUCCUCUGAGCACUCCUUCAGGUGAUUCUGGAAGAAUCCAUGCUUCAGAUCCUGCAUCUACAAGCUUUGGAUCAGAGAUUUCCUUAGGAUCUGGGAUUCCUUGCAGGAUUGCCUUUUCAAAUGCUGGAAUCAGGGAUAUUUACAUGAUACCCGUGGCAAGAGGAACAUCUGGGAAAUUGUUUCUUGUGGAGAAACAUCCCUUCCGUAGUCAACGGGGAGUUGUUAUUGCCAUUGCCCCAUUGGCGGGUUUAAGUCCAAAGAUAGACGAGGAUCAUACCACAUGGUUGCAUCUCAGAAUAAGAGAGUUUGACCCAAAAUUAUAUGCAAGUAGAACUAGAAGCGACAGCCCAAAAGGAUUCAAUCAUGCUGCAGAUGGGAGAUGGACACUUGGCUUCUCAAAUGCCAAAACUUGCGAGGCUGCUCGAUUGGCCAUUCUCGGGGAAACUAAUAAGCAGAGAUCUUCUGUGAAGAGCUCACUUGCCCUACUACUUGGAGACAAAUCUCAUGGUCAAGAUCAGGAAGGCUCUAAUGUUAGAGGUUUAUAGGUGAAAUCACAGAUACUUCUGGCGAGCAAGAAAGACAUAGUUUCCUCUAUUUGGCAAAUGAAAGGUGCUACUACAGAUGUGAUAUGACUUUAGCAUCUUUUCCAUAUGGAUAGGCAUUGAUUAAUUGGAAGGACAUGAAACUGGAGGAAAUAAGUCUUAGCUUCUUGUUGGACAUAUCCCAGUGGCAGUGGUUGAUUGCUUUAUUGAAAGCAGGAUAAAAAAGUUACAACUACAUACUAGAAAUUUCAGGAUGACGCGUACUGCGUAUAGAAUUUACUGGUUACCGAUUUAAAAUAACACAUCCCACGUGGCAAUUCUUUAGUGGACAAUCUCCGUAAUAUGGUUACUGAAAUUUUCCAACGGUUUGAGGUGCCAUGCGGUGUUCAUUUCGACUUGAAGAUGUUGGGUCGGGUCGGGUCGGGAAGUUUGUAUUUUUGAGGUUCCGGCGACGGGUAUUACUCUGUAAACUAUUGGUGUUGGUGGAGAUCAUUUGUUUGAGAGGUUAAAUUGUUGGCUUUAAAAAUCUUGUUUUGGUUAUUCUUCUUGUUGCUGCAAGUGGAGCGAUGUGACAAUGUUUUUUGUGUGGUUUUUUCUGAACGAGUUGCAGCUUUUAUGCAAGAGUAUUAGUUUGAGGGAAUUUUUCCGUCAACCAAAACCCA